rnacentral:misc_RNA from 1 species
GUUCGUCCACAAGCAAAUUCUCCUUCCUCGUGAUCAGAGCCUGUUUUUGCUUUGGCCCAGUAGACUGAUUAGUGAUCGGAAUGAUAGCAGUACUAGGUUCAGAUCGCCCACCUGGUCCGGCCUCAUCACCUUCUUCAGAGGUCCACAAAAAGUGAACGAAGGGUAGACUUGCAACUCUCUGGCCGUGGGUACCGCUCAUUCUCAAGAGAUGAAAUUAAAUUUGACCGAAA